rnacentral:rRNA from 1 species
GGAUGUGAUCAUACCAGCACUAAAGCACCGGAUCCCAUCAGAACUCCGAAGUUAAGCGUGCUUGGGCGAGCGUAGUACUAGGAUGGGUGACCUACUGGGAAGUCCUCGUGUUGCAUUCC